rnacentral:lncRNA from 1 species
GAAACUAUAAGAUAAGGUCCCCCAGAGUGAUACUGGUACAGAACCUAACACAAGGGAACAAGGCUCUUUUGUCUUUGAUUUUCCAAUCAAACCAGAACAUUUGCAUUCUGGUUUGCCUCUUCUCCAAAGAAUCACAACUCCUCGCCAGCAAGGGAGAAAAACUGGACAGAGAAUGAAUUUAAUGAGUUGACAGAAGUAGGCUUCAGAAAGUGGGUAAUAACAAACUACUUCGAGCUAAAGGAGCAUGUUCUAACCCAGUGCAAGGAAGCUAAGAACCUUGACAAAAGGUUAAAGAAAUUGCUAACUAGAAUAACCAGUUUAGAGAAGAACAUAAAUGACCUGAUGGAG